CUCCGGAGGAGCACGCAGCCAGAAGAGAUCCACUUGGACCCGGGUAAGUGUCUUUACAAAACUGUACGUGUCCCGUCACAGUGUCCGUUACGUGUGCUGACUAGUAAUGUAUUUUGCAGAGAGGAUUCACCAGGCGCGUCUCUAGGAUUUGGAUAUAUCUAGUGAGUUUUUCGAGUGAGAGUGUGCUCACCUGUGUGCGCGGAUGUGUCGGCGCGUAUCACGGCAGAGCGAUGCGCGUUAUGGGAGCGGCGGCGCUGGGCUUAGCCCAGAGGAGUGAAGCAGCGAAAUUUAUAGACAUAGAAACACUCUCAGGCAGCAGCUUGCUGUUACCUGCGCCUGCUGCCAGUCUGAUGGUGCGUUUACACCGGACGCGUCGAAAAAAUUCUCUACGCGUCUGACGCAGCAGUAUUGACGCGCGUCGAAAAAAGGGUGUUCACACCAGACGCGUCGGACGCGUCGGGGGCGGAGUCAUAAAUGAGUCGAGGAACGACAGGACCGCAGCGUACUUCCACUUUUUAGUGGACUGAGCUGCACUCCCACUGCGCGUCUCGCUGCUCUCUCUCACUUAUCUCUUGAUACGUGUCUGAGACUUUUCCACCUACAGCGGCAGAUCUCCUCUGCCAUGAAACACAUAUGCCGGCGGUUGGUUGAUAGUAAAGUACAACAAAUAGCGAGAAUAAAAGCAAAUACAUACAUUCAAAACGUACCAGGUAGUCCCACGGCUUCUCCGACCUUGUUCCACGCUUUAUCUUUAUAGCUCCGGUUUCGGACGAUGACGAGCGGAGCUGCUCAACGCUGAUUGGCUGACGCAACUAUGACUCACGCGUCUUUGCUGCCAGAGUUGGGAAAUUUGAACUCGCGCGUCAACGAGCUGCAUCUGUUCGCGCUGUUCGCUGAGUUCGCCCCGCGACAAACCCUCUGUUCGUGCUGCUUCAAACGCGUCUGACGCGCUGCUCGCUGGAAAAUACGCAGCUACGCAGCUUCGACGCAGCUUUGCAUUGACUUAACAUGUAAUCUCGACGCGCGUCAAAAUUUUGACGCGUCCGGUGUGAACACACCAUGACUCCGCUGUUUUGGGUGAAUGACGUCACGUGCGACCUGGAGGUGUUAACCACUUGUGUACCAAAUCUUUUUUUUUUUUUGGUUGAAAACAUUCGGGGCUAAUGAAAAAACAUUCGGGACUUUAGCCCCGGGUUUUUUAGCCUAGGGACGCCACUGCGAUUCACCAGCCCCUGCAGCGCAGCUCUACCUGCCCGGCCAGCAAAGAGGUCUCGUGCCCCGGAGGACCACCAGCACGACACGAUGACAUGAUAGUGAAGCCAUAUUGUAAAUAUUCUGCCAAUAGUUGUGUUCUGUUUUCUAUCUUUCAACAUGUAUAUUAUGUAGAAUAUUUUUUUUUAAUGUUCAAUACAUUUAUUUGAAGAAGAAAAAAAUGUAAUUGUCAUUUUAUAUUUUCACACGCCCCAUUAAACUUUAACUGUCGUCUGACAUCGUUUCUCAGUCCCAUUUCUAUCAUUUCAGUUAAUGGUGUGACAGACCACAUCAUUUCUACUCCCAAAACGAUAAUACAAAAUUUGGUUUUCGACAUUUAUUUACAUGCAUCUAGCAUUGUAUUCAGAUAUGUCACUGCUUUUGUUAACCUAUGACCUUUGGUAAACCAAUUUCAAACACCAAAAUAGUUUGUCCACAUGAGUAAAGGUGUGUUUUUACAGGAGAUAUGAAGAAUAAAAUAAAAAAAUCUAACUUAAA